CUCCGAAUGUGGGUGAUAGAAGGCAGUGUGGUCUGAGUUCUGGGCAGUUGGCAUGGCUCCAGCCUCCCACAGAGGCACCAGGAAGAAGCCUCCCGUCCCAGUUUUUCUUAGACUCUGCAGGGCUGGGCACAGGGAGGGCCGGGCCCACGGGGCUUAGUUACUUCUUAUCGGCUUAUCUACUACUUCUUGUCUGAGGAUCCCAGGCAUGCUCAGGGCGCGGAGAACGCACUGAGUUCCAAGGACCAAGCCCUUUCCAGCAUCUCAGGAGUUGUGAUCCUCACGCUGGGCCUCUCCCAGGUGAAACUGGCUUAUGGGAAAAUGGGAUCUGGCCUCUUGGCUCAGAGGGUACAUCCCUCCCAAAAGGAAAAAAUGAAGAUCGAUGAUUGCCUUACAGAAGUUCAGACAGUUUGGGGCACUUGUGGAGCCAGAAAGCCGGUCUUCCUGUUCCUGGCUAGAACCCUCUUCUGCUAUAGUGACCUUGGCGACCCCAGUGCAGCUCUCCAGCCUCUGGCUCUUAGUCUCCGCCACCAUAGUGUCCCGGGUUCCUGCUCCCAAGAACAAAUCCAGAUGGAGGUGAAGGGAGACAAAGCCCUGCUCCUGGUGGAAUGGGAAGUGGGACUCACCUCUGUUUGUAAACAAGAAGGAAACUGAUUCCACCUGAACUUCACUGAAGCCUGAAUUAUCCUUUUUA
rnacentral:lncRNA from 1 species